UGUUUGAAUUGGGACAUGCUAUGGAUAUCUUUCUAGGUUUCUAGGAUCUUAGGCAAACAUGUUAUUUCACCCCUUAGUUGGCAUGCUGUUGCCGGGAACGUUGGAUCUUGGUUGUAUUUAUUUUUUUAUAGAGGAUUUAUAGUUAUAAUAUUUUUCUUGGGGCAAACGUUUUGUUUGUAUUCGGCUCAAUCAGUGAGAGUUACUGUUUAUAUUUGCAAGUGGGAUAGCUUGCUUCUCAAUAUAAAUAAGCGUUUUGCAUCUUUGUUCCAUUGCUCACUUCCAUUCCUUCCUCAUAUUUCCAGUUUGUUCUGUUUAGAGGUGUAUUGUUUUUCUUUUCUCAUGGCAAUGGAUAACACAUUUAACAAGUUUGCUGAAGUUGUUCCUGGGAGGGAUGCUUGGAAAUUUCUUGUUCGUGUUUGUGGAGUUGGUUUUGGUGGAUGAAUGUAUGUGAUUGGUGUGUUGAGUGGCAUGUCUACUGAGAGGGAGUACGUCAGGGAUGGGAAGGUUACUAGAAUGAUUGUUAUAGAGCUAACUGAUCACAGAUGAAAAAGCUUAUUGGUGAAACUGUUGAUGGAGUACCAGUUGUUGGUGUUAUGUUUGAUGUGGUUUAGUUUUUAAGAGUGUUCUAAUGUCCUAUGAACAUGUUAUGUAAUCUUGGAUCUAAUGGAAGGUUAUAAACCUAAAGUUCAAUGUUAUUUUCAUCCUUUUACUGUGUUUUUUUUGUUUGGUAUUGUAUAAGUUUAUUUGCUCUUCAAAGGUGCUUCUAGCUCUGACCUUGUGAACAUUGUCGUUAAGAACCCUAUGUUCCUUACAACAAGUUUGCACAAGAAAAUAAUCCCAAUCUAUGAUUUGGUUUGUAAAUACUUGCAAUCUGAAAAAGACAUUCUUGCAUUGGUUAAUUGCAAUCUAACUUUAUUUGGAAGAAGUAGUGUGGAGCAUAACAUGAGAAUGUUGAUAAUAUUGCAAGACUGCUUCUGAACAAUUUUCAGUUUUUCUUCACAUGUAGAUUCAUAUCACAUGUAACUUUAUUUGAGCUCCAUGGUUGGCUUGAAUAUUAGGAGGGAUAUAAUAUGUUCAUUUUGAGUUGUUAGGUUUGGAAAAUUGAAAGAGUGGGAAAUCUUUGUUGAAUGGGAAAAUUAACAUUUUUCUGUUUGUGGUACUUUUUACUACCAGCUUAUAGAGAAAAAUUAAAUAUAUGUAUAAGGAUGAUACACCAUCAUGAAAGCAUUUUUAUAGCCACUGAGACUAUUUUAAUUUGUUUCAUAAAAAAUAAGCACAAAAAGUAGACACUGUCUU
rnacentral:lncRNA from 1 species